UACGUAAGAGGCAAGCGUUAUUCGUCAUUAAUGGGUCUAAAGGGUACGUAGGCGGUAUAGUAAAUCUUUUUUAAUACACGUUAGAGUGGAUCUGAUAAUACUAUACUAGAGUUUAAAAGGUGUACCAAAUACUUAGACAGGAGUGUAUCAAUACUUAAAUAGUCUUGGGGUUGCUAAUAGGCGAAGGCAUGUUACAAAAUUAAAACUGACGUCUGAGGUACGAAGGCAUGGGUAUCGA
rnacentral:rRNA from 1 species